rnacentral:lncRNA from 1 species
GGGCCGGGUGGGGAGGGGUCGGGGACAGCCCUGGCGGGAGGGAUGGGCCACACCACUGUUUGGGCAAAGCGUUUCCGAAUACAUGCAUCCGAACAGGCAAGUCUAGACGGCUCUGUGUCAACAACCGAAGAUAAAUAAGAUUUUAUCGGCUGGGAAUCUGUUGAAACACAUCCAUCUAGCGGUUCUAGGGGAGAAGGAGGCAGGAGGAGGCACAGGCAGAGGAAGCAUCUCCUUUGACCUUCUGUAGGACACAGCACCCACCUGGCAGUGCUGUCCCUCGGCCUCCACUCCGGUGGAUCCCCCAGCCUCGCUGGAGGAAGGUGGCAGGGACACUCAGGCCCAGGGCUCAAAACUCGAACACCCCAUGCCCCCCGUCCUGUGGCCACUGUGCCCCCCCCUCCCGUUCCCAGGCACGCAGAAGCUACAGGCUACCUGCAGGCCAGGGUUUGGGCCGGGUGUCCAGCCCCUGCAGUGCCCACAAGCCCUGCGCUGGGCACCCCUGGAGGGAGAGGGCCUUACCCAGGCAGCGGCCCCUCACUCCCACCCUGAGACCUGCUGACGAUGAGG